AACACGUGGGUAACCUGCCUGUAAGACUGGGAUAACUCCGGGAAACCGGGGCUAAUACCGGAUGGUUGUUUGAACCGCAUGGUUCAAACAUAAAAGGUGGCUUCGGCUACCACUUACAGAUGGACCCGCGGCGCAUUAGCUAGUUGGUGAGGUAACGGCUCACCAAGGCGACGAUGCGUAGCCGACCUGAGAGGGUGAUCGGCCACACUGGGACUGAGACACGGCCCAGACUCCUACGGGAGGCAGCAGUAGGGAAUCUUCCGCAAUGGACGAAGUCUGACGGAGCAACGCCGCGUGAGUGAUGAAGGUUUUCGGAUCGUAAAGCUCUGUUGUUAGGGAAGAACAAGUACCGUUCGAAUAGGGCGGUACCUUGACGGUACCUAACCAGAAAGCCACGGCUAACUACGUGCCAGCAGCCGCGGUAAUACGUAGGUGGCAAGCGUUGUCCGGAAUUAUUGGGCGUAAAGGGCUCGCAGGCGGUUUCUUAAGUCUGAUGUGAAAGCCCCCGGCUCAACCGGGGAGGGUCAUUGGAAACUGGGGAACUUGAGUGCAGAAGAGGAGAGUGGAAUUCCACGUGUAGCGGUGAAAUGCGUAGAGAUGUGGAGGAACACCAGUGGCGAAGGCGACUCUCUGGUCUGUAACUGACGCUGAGGAGCGAAAGCGUGGGGAGCGAACAGGAUUAGAUACCCUGGUAGUCACGCCGUAAACGAUGAGUGCUAAGUGUUAGGGGGUUUCCGCCCCUUAGUGCUGCAGCUAACGCAUUAAGCACUCCGCCUGGGGAGUACGGUCGCAAGACUGAAACUCAAAGGAAUUGACGGGGGCCCGCACAAGCGGUGGAGCAUGUGGUUUAAUUCGAAGCAACGCGAAGAACCUUACCAGGUCUUGACAUCCUCUGACAAUCCUAGAGAUAGGACGUCCCCUUCGGGGGCAGAGUGACAGGUGGUGCAUGGUUGUCGUCAGCUCGUGUCGUGAGAUGUUGGGUUAAGUCCCGCAACGAGCGCAACCCUUGAUCUUAGUUGCCAGCAUUCAGUUGGGCACUCUAAGGUGACUGCCGGUGACAAACCGGAGGAAGGUGGGGAUGACGUCAAAUCAUCAUGCCCCUUAUGACCUGGGCUACACACGUGCUACAAUGGACAGAACAAAGGGCAGCGAAACCGCGAGGUUAAGCCAAUCCCACAAAUCUGUUCUCAGUUCGGAUCGCAGUCUGCAACUCGACUGCGUGAAGCU
rnacentral:rRNA from 1 species